CACGUAGGGUGCGAGCGUUGUCCGGAAUUAUUGGCGUAAAGGAGCUCGUAGGCGGUGUGUCGCGUCGGCCGUGAAAACUUGCAGCUUAACUGUGGGCGUGCGGUCGAUACGGGCAUCACUGGAGUUCGGCAGGGGAGACUGGAAUUCCUGGUGUAGCGGUGAAAUGCGCAGAUAUCAGGAGGAACACCGGUGGCGAAGGCGGGUCUCUGGGCCGAUACUGACGCUGGAGGAGCGAAAGCGUGGGGAGCGAACAGG
rnacentral:rRNA from 1 species